ensembl:misc_RNA Metazoa_SRP Metazoan signal recognition particle RNA
GCCGGGCGUGGUGGCGGGCGCCUGUAGUCCCAGCUACUCGGGAGGCUGAGGCAGGAGAAUGGCGUGAACCCGGGAGGCGGAGCUUGCAGUGAGCUGAGAUCCGGCCACUGCACUCCAGCCUGGGUGACAGUGCAAGAUUCUGUCUCAA